rfam:Palmaria palmata 5 S ribosomal RNA
ACAUGCGGCCAUAGUGCAGGAACAUGCGCCGAAACCCAUCCCGAAUUUCGAAGCUAAGCUCCGCCACGCACGAUUAGUACUCUGGAGGGGGACCACAGUGGAAUCUCGUGUGCCGCAUGUU